CAUGGCUCAGAUUGAACGCUGGCGGCAUGCUUUACACAUGCAAGUCGAACGGCAGCGCGGGGCAACCUGUGGGCGAGUGGCGAACGGGUGAGUAAUAUAUCGGAACGUACCCAGAAGUGGGGGAUAACGUAGCGAAAGUUACGCUAAUACCGCAUACGAUCUACGGAUGAAAGUGGGGGACCUUCGGGCCUCAUGCUUGUGGAGCGGCCGAUAUCUGAUUAGCUAGUUGGUAGGGUAAAGGCCUACCAAGGCGACGAUCAGUAGCUGGUCUGAGAGGACGACCAGCCACACUGGGACUGAGACACGGCCCAUACUCCUACGGGAGGCAGCAGUGGGGAAUUUUGGACAAUGGGCGCAAGCCUGAUCCAGCAAUGCCGCGUGAGUGAAGAAGGCCUUCGUGGUUGUAAAGCUCUUCUUGUCAGGGAAGAAACGGGAUUGGCUAAUAUCCAGUCCUGAUGACGGUACCUGAAGAAUAAGCACCGGCUAACUACGUGCCAGCAGCCGCGGUAAUACGAUAGGGUGCGAGCGUUAAUCGGCAAUUUACUGUGCGUAAAGUCGCGCGCACGCGGGUUUUGUGAGCUCCGACGAUGAACAUCCCCGUGGCUCAACCUGCGGAACUUGACGUUAGCAGACUGCAACGGCUGGUAGUACUGGCANUAGCGGGGGCUA
rnacentral:rRNA from 1 species